rnacentral:rRNA from 1 species
CGAUCUUCGGAUUGGUGGCGACCGGCGCACGGGUGCGUAACGCGUAUAGAACCUACCUUUUACAGGGGAAUAGCCCAGAGAAAUUUGGAUUAAUGCCCCAUAGUAUUUCAGUCUCGCAUGAGGUUGAAAUUAAAGCUUUGGCGGUAAAAGAUGGGCAUGCGUUCUAUUAGUUAGUUGGUGAGGUAACGGCUCACCAAGACUACGAUAGAUAGGGGUCCUGAGAGGGAGAUCCCCCACACUGGUACUGAGACAGGGACCAGACUCC